rnacentral:rRNA from 1 species
AGAGUUUGAUCCUGGCUCAGGACGAACGCUGGCGGCGUGCCUAACACAUGCAAGUCGAACGGAGAAUUUCGAUAAGUUUACUUAGAGAAAUUUUUAGUGGCGGACGGUGGCGGACGGGUGAGUAACGCGUGGGUAACCUACCCAUAAAGUCGGGACAACCCUUGGAAACGAGGGCUAAUACCGAAUAAUCUUAGUUCGUGGCAUCACGAAUUAAGAAAAGGUGGCCUCUGAAAAUGCUACCGAUUAUGGAUGGACCCGCGUCUGAUUAGCUAGUUGGUGGGGUAAAGGCCUACCAAGGCGACGAUCAGUAGCCGGCCUGAGAGGGUGAACGGCCACACUGGGACUGAGACACGGCCCAGACUCCUACGGGAGGCAGCAGUGGGGAAUCUUCCGCAAUGGACGAAAGUCUGACGGAGCAACGCCGCGUGUAUGAUGAAGGUCUUCGGAUUGUAAAGUACUGUCUUUGGGGAAGAAAAAAAUGGAGUUUAUAUGACGGUACCCAAGGAGGAAGCCCCGGCUAACUACGUGCCAGCAGCCGCGGUAAUACGUAGGUGGCAAGCGUUAUCCGGAAUUAUUGGGCGUAAAGGGAGCGUAGGCGGUUUGAUAAGUCUGAGGUGAAAGUUCGGGGCUCAACCCCGUAUUGCCUUUAAAAACUGUCAGACUAGAGUGCAGGAGAGGGCAAUGGAAUUCCAUGUGUAGCGGUAAAAUGCGUAGAUAUAUGGAGGAACACCAGUGGCGAAGGCGGUUGCCUGGCCUGUAACUGACGCUGAGGCACGAAAGCGUGGGGAGCAAAUAGGAUUAGAUACCCUAGUAGUCCACGCUGUAAACGAUGUAAACGAUGAUUACUAAGUGUUGGAGCAAUUCAGUGCCGCAGUUAACGCAAUAAGUAUCCCGCCUGGGGAGUACGGCCGCAAGGUUGAAACUCAAAGGAAUUGACGGGGGCCCGCACAAGCAGCGGAGCAUGUGGUUUAAUUCGAAGCAACGCGAAGAACCUUACCAGAACUUGACAUCGUCUGAAUUACUCUUAAUCGAGGAAGCCUUUCGGGGCAGAUAGACAGGUGGUGCAUGGUUGUCGUCAGCUCGUGUCGUGAGAUGUUGGGUUAAGUCCCGCAACGAGCGCAACCCUUAUUGCUAGUUGCCAUCAUUAAGUUGGGCGAGCGGUUGAGAGGUAUUUUCACUUCUCUCAAUAGCGGCGGACGGGUGAGUAACGCGUGGAUAAUCUGCCUGUAAGACUACACACGUACUACAAUGGCCUGAACAGAGGGAAGCAAAACUGCGAAGUUAAGCCAACCCCUUAAAACAGGUCCCAGUUCGGAUUGUAGGCUGCAACUCGCCUACAUGAAGUCGGAAUCGCUAGUAAUCGCAGGUCAGCAUACUGCGGUGAAUACGUUCCCGGGCCUUGUACACACCGCCCGUCACACCACGAAAGUCGGCAACACCCGAAGCCGGUGACUCAACCCGUAAGGGAGAGAGCCGUCGAAGGUGGGGUUGGUAAUUGGGGUGAAGUCGUAACAAGGUAACCU